rnacentral:pre_miRNA from 1 species
ACAGGGCUCUGACCUAUGAAUUGACAGCCAGUGUUCCCAUCUCCCCUCUGGCUGCCAAUUCCAUAGGUCACAGGUAUGU